CCCGCGGGCUGCGACUCACUCUGAGUGCGCCGGGCCGUUGGGCGGGAGACACCCUUCUUGUAACCCCGACCCGGUCUCCGUGAGAGAUUGGAAGGGUCUGCUGUUACUAGUCCAAUAUGCAUCUUCUGAGGAAGAGAUAUACCUGAAGGACAUCCCCACUUAAAUCUAUGGAGGGCAAUACUCCAAGUUUGGCUGCCUCCCCCAAAGAGCACUUGGAAAAACUGAGAUGCCUACGCUGCCAUAUAUCUUUUAAACUCCUACAUUCAAGACCAGCAACCACUGCUACAUACUCACCAUUUCUCCUUGGAUUAAUGCAAAGAAGCUGUUUGGUCCCGGGUAGAUUUUUGCUGCACUCUUCCUGGUUUACCCGUAGUAAUUUGUUCAACAUUGGCUCAAGAAAUAUUGGUGUUGGCGCGCAAGUCCUCUGAAGAGACUGUGUGCCCGCAGGUACCUGUGUUUUCCAAGAAAUAUUGGUGUCUACUACAUUGAAAGGUGAUCAGAGCCUUCCACCAUCUCGAGUGCUCUCUCUCUCUCUCUCUCUCUCUCUCUCUCGCUCUCGCUCUCGCUCUCGCUCUCGCUCUCGCUCUCGCUCUCGCUCUCGCUCUCUCUCUCUCCUCUCAGCUCCAGAGGUGAACACUCAGCUGUGCCACUCCUGUGCUCUACCAUCAUAGACUCUAACCCUCCGAAAACCUUAAAUCCUCAAGAGAAACGAGGAGGGAAAAAAAAAAAAAAAACUACUUUCUUUACAAAUUGCAUUGGUCACAGUGUUUUGUCACCAUAGCAAUAGGGAAACACCCAAGGCACAAAGUAGCAGAAUAAAAAGCACGAAGCCCAAUAUUUUAUUUUGUUCUCUCAAACGAAUGCUAACUCUUCUGAUAUUUGAACAUGAGGAUGUUUGAUGACCAGAAAAGCUUGCCAAGUUCAAGGCAGAUACAGGGUCAACCAAAGAGAAUCAGCACAAGGUUACGGUGGACAGAUGGGUAGCUCGGAGCCAGAUUACUGAAUACCUGCAAGGAUGUGGUAAGGGGUGCU
rnacentral:lncRNA from 1 species